GACGAACGCUGGCGGCGUGCUUAACACAUGCAAGUCGAACGGUGAAGCAGAGCUUGCUCUGUGGACCAGUGGCGAACGGGGGAGUAACACGCGAGUAACCCGCCCUUGACUCUGGGGUAAGCGUUGGAAACGAUGGGUAAAACAGGAGACAAGAUGACACCGCAUGGGCAGGAGGUGGAAAGGUUUCGGGGGCAAGGAUGGACUCGCGGCCUAUCAGCUUGUUGGUGAGGUAAUGGCUCACCAAGGCUACGACGGGUAGCCGGCCUGAGAGGGUGACCGGCCACACUGGGACUGAGACACGGCCCAGACUCCUACGGGAGGCAGCAGUGGGGAAUAUUGCACAAUGGGCGCAAGCCUGAUGCAGCAACGCCGCGUGCGGGAUGACGGCCUUCGGGUUGUAAACCUCUUUUAGUAGGGAAGAAGCGAAAGUGACGGUACCUGCAGAAAAAGCACCGGCUAACUACGUG
rnacentral:rRNA from 1 species